rnacentral:piRNA from 1 species
AGAGGACACAGGAACACUUCUCUGA